rnacentral:rRNA from 1 species
AACGAACGCUGGCGGCAGGCUUAACACAUGCAAGUCGAGCGCCCCGCAAGGGGAGCGGCAGACGGGUGAGUAACGCGUGGGAACGUACCCUUUGCUACGGAAUAGCUCCGGGAAACUGGAAUUAAUACCGUAUGUGCCCUACGGGGGAAAGAUUUAUCGGCAAAGGAUCGGCCCGCGUUGGAUUAGCUAGUUGGUGGGGUAAUGGCCUACCAAGGCGACGAUCCAUAGCUGGUCUGAGAGGAUGAUCAGCCACAUUGGGACUGAGACACGGCCCCAACUCCUACGGGAGGGAGCAGUGGGGAAUAUUGGACAAUGGGCGCGAGCCUGAUCCAGCCAUGCCGCGUGAGUGAUGAAGGCCUUAGGGUUGUAAAGCUCUUUCACCGGAGAAGAUAAUGACGGUAUCCGGAGAAGAAGCCCCGGCUAACUUCGUGCCAGCCGCCGCUGUAAAAC